rnacentral:rRNA from 1 species
UACGUAGGUGGCAAGCGUUAUCCGGAUUCACUGGGUUUAAAGGGUGCGUAGGUGGGCAGGUAAGUCCGUGGUGAAAUCCCUGAGCUUAACUCGGGAACUGCCAUGGAUACUAUUUGUCUUGAAUAUUGUGGAGGUAAGCGGAAUAUGUCAUGUAGCGGUGAAAUGCUUAGAUAUGACAUAGAACACCAAUUGCGAAGGCAGCUUACUACACAGUUAUUGACACUGAGGCACGAAAGCGUAGGGAUCAAACAGG